GAAAGCCCUACGGGGCGAGCGGGGAUGGGCAUGCGGCGCAUUAGGAAGACGGCGGUGUGACGGACCACCGUUCCGACGAUGCGUAGGGGUUCUGAGAGGAAGGCCCCCCACACUGGUACUGAGACACGGACCAGACUCCUACGGGAGGCAGCAGUGAGGAAUAUUGGUCAAUGGCCGGAAGGCUGAACCAGCCAAGCCGCGUGAGGGAGGAAGGCGCAGAGCGUCGCAGACCUCUUUUGCCGGGGGACAAAAGGCCGGACGGGUCCGGUCCUGAGGGUACCCGGAGAAAAAGCAUCGGCUAACUCCGUGCCAGCAGCCGCGGUAAUACGGAGGAUGCGAGCGUUAUCCGGAUUCAUUGGGUUUAAAGGGUGCGCAGGCGGGCCUUUAAGCCGGCGGUGAAAUCGCGGGGCUCAACCCCGCCGAGCCGUCGGAACUGGGGGCCUUGAGUGCGGCGGAGGCAUGCGGAAUGCGCGGUGUAGCGGUGAAAUGCAUAGAUAUCGCGCAGAACCCCGAUUGCGAAGGCAGCGUGCCAUGCCGCCACUGACGCUGAGGCACGAAAGCGCGGGGAUCGAACAGGAUUAGAUACCCUGGUAGUCCGCGCCGUAAACGAUGGAUGCUGGGUGUCCGGGGCGUUCAGGCCCUGG
rnacentral:rRNA from 1 species